rnacentral:lncRNA from 13 species
AGCUGUCACUUACCAAUUUUGUUUUAUGAAAAAAAUGUUUGUUUUUAAAAUUAUCACUGUUUUACUCAUUUAAUAAAUAUCUGUAUUUCGCCUAUUUGUCCAGGAGCUAAGAACUGGGAACAGAAAGAUGCAACUCCUGCCUUCGUGGAGUAUAUUCCAGUAGAAGAGUCAGGAACAAACAGGAACUUUUUCAUGCUACAAUAGAGGGACAUUUUGCAAAGGCAUCAAGGGCUGUGUGAAUAUUUGAUAUGUUGAAGACCUGGUCUGAAACCUUUUUGGUGGAAAAUUCAUUAGCAGUUGCUUAGCAACUGAGGUGUUUGGAUGUACUGAGAAUUGCUUGACAUGUUUUCAGUGGAAAAUACUUUCAAAAUGAGUGAAAAUUUGGGAUUUGGGAUUUGUCUGUAAAAUUUGAAAAACCUUAAUUGUUCCUUAUGAAUAAAAUAUUAUAUUUGGAAGACA